rnacentral:rRNA from 1 species
UACGUAGGGUGCAAGCGUUAAUCGGAAUUACUGGGCGUAAAGCGUGCGCAGGCGGUUAUGCAAGACAGAUGUGAAAUCCCCGGGCUCAACCUGGGAACUGCAUUUGUGACUGCAUAGCUAGAGUGCGGCAGAGGGAGAUGGAAUUCCGCGUGUAGCAGUGAAAUGCGUAGAUAUGCGGAGGAACACCGAUGGCGAAGGCAAUCCCCUGGGCCUGCACUGACGCUCAUGCACGAAAGCGUGGGGAGCAAACAGG